rnacentral:lncRNA from 1 species
UCAGCCCUACUCCACUCCAGCACUAUAGUUGUAGCAGGAGUUUUCCUGCUCAUCCGCUUCUACCCUUUAAUAGAAAAUAGUCUACCAAUCCAAGCCUUUACAUUAUGUCUGGGGGCCAUUACCCCCUUAUUUACAGCGAUCUGCGCUCUGACACAAAAUGAUAUUUAAAAAAUCAUAGCGUUCUUCACCUCAAGCCAGCUGGGCCUUAUAAUAGUCACAAUUGGCAUUAAUCAACCACAUCUAGCAUUCCUUAACAUCUGCACGCAUGCCAUUUUUAAAGCUAUAUUAUUUAUAUGUUCAGGCUCCAUCAGCCAUAACCUCAAUGACGAACAAGACAUCCAAAAAAUAGGAGGACUGUUCAAGACUUUACCCUUCACUUCCUCCUCCCUUACUAUUGGUAGCCUUGCACUUACAGGUAUGCCUUUCCUCACAGGCUUUAACUCUAAAGACCUUAUUAUAGAAACCGCAAAUACAUCAUACACCAACACCUGAGCCCUUUCUAUUGCUCUUAUUGCCACCUCCUUAACAGCUGUCUAUAGUACCUGUAUUAUUUUCUUCGUUCUCAUAGGACAAUCUCGCUUCACAACUCUGAUUAUUAUUAACGAAAAUAACCCUUCCUAAUUAACUCAAUUAAGCACCUAACAAUACAGCAGUAUCUUCUCUGGGUUCCUCAUCACCAACAGUACUAUUCCUGCUUCAUCCCCCCAAACAAUUAUACCACUCCACUUAAAGCUCAAAGCCCUAGGUGUAACCACCUUAGGCCUCUUACUAGCAAUGGAGCUUAAUCUCAUAACUAAUAACCUCAAACUAAAGUACCCAUUACAGACAUUCAGCUUCUCCAAUAUACUAGGUUUUUAUUCAGCCACAAUCAACCAUUCAACCCCCCACUCAAGCCUAUUCACAAACCAAAAUGUGGCUUCACUUCUACUAGACGUAAUUUGACUAGAAAAGUCUAUACCAAUGACCAUCUCACAAAUCUAAGUUUCAGCCUCCAUUACUGUAUCUACUCAAAAAGGCCUAAUAAAACUCUACUUUCUCUCUUUUUUUAUCCCAUCCCUUCUAACACUACUAUUAAUUAUCUAA